GGGCGGUUAGCUCAGUUGGUUAGAGCGCUACGUUGACAUCGUAGAGGCCACAAGUUCGAAUCUUGUACCGCCCA
rnacentral:tRNA from 2 species